rnacentral:rRNA from 1 species
GUGCCAGCAGCCGCGGUAAUACGUAGGUGGCAAGCGUUGUCCGGAUUUAUUGGGCGUAAAGCGAGCGCAGGCGGUUUCUUAAGUCUGAUGUGAAAGCCUUCGGCUCAACCGAAGAAGUGCAUCGGAAACUGGGAAACUUGAGUGCAGAAGAGGACAGUGGAACUCCAUGUGUAGCGGUGAAAUGCGUAGAUAUAUGGAAGAACACCAGUGGCGAAGGCGGCUGCCUGGUCUGUAACUGACGCUGAGGCUCGAAAGCAUGGGUAGCAAACAGGAUUAGAUACCCUGGUAGUCCAUGCCGUAAACGAUGAGUGCUAGGUGUUGGAGGGUUUCCGCCCUUCAGUGCCGCAGCUAACGCAUUAAGCACUCCGCCUGGGGAGUACGACCGCAAGGUUGAAACUCAAAGGAAUUGACGGGGGCCCGCACAAGCGGUGGAGCAUGUGGUUUAAUUCGAAGCAACGCGAAGAACCUUACCAGGUCUUGACAUCCUUUGACCACUCUAGAGAUAGAGCUUUCCCUUCGGGGACAAAGUGACAGGUGGUGCAUGGUUGUCGUCAGCUCGUGUCGUGAGAUGUUGGGUUAAGUCCCGCAACGAGCGCAACCCUUAUUACUAGUUGCCAGCAUUUAGUUGGGCACUCUAGUGAGACUGCCGGUGACAAACCGGAGGAAGGUGGGGACGACGUCAAAUCAUCAUGCCCCUUAUGACCUGGGCUACACACGUGCUACAAUGGAUGGUACAACGAGUUGCGAGACCGCGAGGUUUAGCUAAUCUCUUAAAACCAUUCUCAGUUCGGAUUGUAGGCUGCAACUCGCCUACAUGAAGCCGGAAUCGCUAGUAAUCGCGGAUCAGCAUGCCGCGGUGAAUACGUUCCCGGGCCUUGUACACACCGCCCGU